CCCGACCACUCUGGCCACCGUUGCAGGGGCUGUCGUCGCAGGGGCCGCCGCGGCCAUUCCUCGCACUUGUCAUCGCUGCAACGACGGAGGGGCCGCGCAGGAGAUCACCGUGAUACAGCUGCAACUCCGGCCUGCGACAAGAUCGAUCAGUUCUCUAAGCAAACAUCAAUCAGGUCACAAUCUCCUUGAAACUGAACUAGCAAGCUUAUAAAAGUGUAAAACAAUAUGUAGAAGUUUCAGGUCGCUGAAUUGCGGCUAACACAUGUGUUGUAAACAUCGGUAGCUGACAUGUAACUGUAAACAAUCUGUACAAGUUAGUUCAGUUUUGGAUAUCCGAAAGUUACAUGUUUAGGUCACAAUGUCAUGGCACUAACAAAAGACACACUAAAAUAUCAAAGUCACUACCAUGAACAUGGACAUGUACAGUGUAUAGCACCAGGCAAUGAUUUGGUUUAUAUCACAAAUUAACAUUACCUACAUAGAAUUUCAAAUCUAUUCUACACAGCACUAGAUGAAUCUGUGUUAAAUUCAGUUGAUUUUAACCUGUGUUGCUUGUAAAGCAUAGAAAGGCACCAUUACAGUGCCCUGAAUUAGCAGAAGUCACAUACUCAUGUGAAGCAUAUCAGUAGUUUGCACUCUUAAAAAAUAAUGGAGAGAAAAUCAUGCAGUAGUUAAUCAAUUGGCUGAGAUUACAGGUCACUGAAGAAGAAGAAGCAGUUCUGCCGAAAACAGUAAGAGCAAACUCCACGGUGACUCAGAUUUAGAUCAUUGUACAUCUCAGAGCAUUUUAUCAAACAUGUUAAUAGUACAGGUUACUGCAAAAUCUCCACAGUAUGUUUUCCAUGCUGUAUUUUUUCAUAACAAUUUGUGUAGAGCAAAUAGUUGUUGGGAUGUAAAAUGAAAUUGACUUGCUUAGUUUUUACUGGCCUGCAGAUAUCAGCUGCCUCCUCAACAAACUCCACUAUGAUGUUCCCAGACCUCAACAGCACCCCACUUGACCUCAACAACACUCCACUUGAGGAAGUUGAUGUCUACAUGCCUGAUGUACGUCAAGUAGAGGAGGAGAUGUUGGAUCAACAGGAAGGAAUUACGUAUGACGUUCUUCUGAUUGCUUUAGCCGAUUGUCUGGAACAUGCUCUAUUGGUAAUAUCCCCCUUCCUUGUCCUGAUUGACAUCUAGUUGGUCUGUGAAGGAUUAGGAAUUGGAUUCGUGGUACUUAAAUAUGAGACUCACGACUUGACUUUAUAUACUCUGGGAUCAUUAAUGGUUUAUUUGACGGGAUUGUUCAAUUUUUGUGCGAGAAGCAUCAAAUCAGAAAUAAGUAUCAUCGAAGUUACAAAGUUAUGUGAUGGUUUGUGCUUUGAACUGUCAUCUAAAUCAUGGUUCCAUUAUGUGAUCAUUGCUAAGAAACGCCACACAACUGCGCAUUUGCGGUCGGUGUUCUUCGAGUCCCUCGACCUAGAUCAUGCCUUCGAGUCCAUCGGCGCCAACAUUGUCGAGUGGUGGACGCCCAUGUUCAACUGCCACGUUGACGCUAUGCACCGCUCCACCGCCUUACUCGCCGCAGGGGAGCUCUGCGAGGUCCAGAUGAAUAUGGAGUCGCUUCGCUCCGGUCCUGCCCACAACAUCUUACUCCUGGACAACUUCGUCCAUGGCCAGUCCGGUGCGGGCAACAACUGGGUCAAGGGACACUAUGCCGAGUACGGCAAGCUCAUUGACUCUGUCCUCGACAUGGUAUUAUGAAAGCACAAGGAGACCAAGAACUCGGACUGCCUCCAAGGGAGGGUCCAUCGUCAGCGUUGGCCGUGCGGCGGCAGAAAGUACAAGGCAAGGUCGCUUGAAGAGAGUGGAGGAAGAGAAUGUGGAUGCGGAAUACUCUCUAGAAAAUGGCUGACACCUGAUAGUGAGGGGACAUCCAACCUCUUGUAUGUGACAAUGGCACUGGAAUGGUCAAGGUUAGAAAUCUUUCUCGGAGCUGUUUCAUAAUUGUUUCCUGCAUUUGUUAAGAUAUUAUGUAGGCUGGUUUCACUGCUGAAAACCUCAGGCAAGUUACAAUGAGAGGCUGCUCACCGCAGAAAAGAAAAAACAGCGAGGAAGCAGAAAAUGGGUCAUUGUUGUUGAUUUGGUUGGGUUACAGCUUAUGGCAUCAGAUUUUUUCGACCAUGGACCAUACUGGUUACUCAUUGUUUGCUUUCAUGCCGCUUAUCCUGCAUAUGGAUCUUUUGACUACAUCCAUCAAAUGUCUCAAUCCGCUCAUCAAGUGGCAGCUUAUGGUGCCUAUCAUUCUACAUACACACCCUAGGUAGAUGUGAAGUUUUGGAGGACUAGAUCUAGAAAUGAAGACAAUCAUUGUUCCACGGUGCCUAUGGGUGCCGCUUUUCGAGGAUGCACACAUCGUUGAAAAAUUGCAGUUUCACAAGAAAAAUAUUUCUACCCGUUGUACUGUGCACCACCGUAGCUACAUGCAGAUCCGCCGCGGAUUGUUCCCAUUUGUUGUUCUAAAAAAGUAUUUCCAUUUGUUAAUAUUUGUAGGGUUUUUACCUGUUAAUAUUUGAAAAGGAGUGUAGGGCGAAAACAUGCAUCUAGAGUAAGAUGUGAUUGGCCAUUUGCCACGAUGAUUAUAAAUCCAGCUCGACAUGUACGUGGGGUUU